GUGGGGGAUAUUGCACAAUGGGGGGAACCCUGAUGCAGCGACGCCGCGUGGAGGAAGAAGUAUCUCGGUAUGUAAACUCCUAUCAGCAGGGAAGAAGACAGACGGUACCUGACCAAGAAGCCCCGGCUAACUACGUGCCAGCAGCCGCGGUAAUACGUAGGGGGCGAGCGUUAUCCGGAUUUACUGGGUGUAAAGGGAGCGUAGACGGCCAUGCGAGCCUGAUGUGAAAGGCGUGGGCACAACCCGCGGACUGCAUCGGGGACUGCAUGGCUGGAGUGCCGGAGGGGCAGGCGGAAUUCCUGGUGUAGCGGUGAAAUGCGUAGAUAUCAGGAGGAACACCGGUGGCGAAGGCGGCCUGCUGGACGGCGACUGACGUUGAGGCUCGAGAGCGUGGGGAGCGAACAGGAUUAGAAACCCUAGUAGUCC
rnacentral:rRNA from 1 species